rnacentral:rRNA from 1 species
GAUGAACGCUAGCGGUAUGCUUAACACAUGCAAGUCGUACGGAAAAGAAAUUUUUAGUGGCGGACGGGUGAGUAACGCGUGAGAAUUUGCCUUUAGGAAGAGGAUAACAUUUAGAAAUAAUUGCUAAAACUCUAUAUGCCGUUUGGUGAAAAAAGUAAUUUGCCUAAAGAGAAGCUUGCGUCUGAUUAGCUAGUUGGUGGGGUAACGGCCUACCAAGGCGAUGAUCGGUAGCUGGUUUGAGAGAAUGACCAGCCACACUGGGACUGAGACACGGCCCAGACUCCUACGGGAGGCAGCAGCAAGGAAUAUUGCGCAAUGGGCGAAAGCCUGACGCAGCGACGCCGCGUGAGGGAAGAAGGCCUUCGGGUCGUAAACCUCUUUUCUUGGGGAAGAAUAAUGACGGUACCCAGGGAAUAAGUCACGGCUAACUACGUGCCAGCCGCCGCCGUAACAC